rnacentral:rRNA from 1 species
GGUUAAGCGACUAAGCGUACACGGUGGAUGCCCUGGCAGUCAGAGGCGAUGAAGGACGUGCUAAUCUGCGAAAAGCGCCGGCGAGGUGAUAUGAACCCUUGACCCGGCGAUGUCCGAAUGGGGAAACCCAGUGUGAUUCGUCACACUAUCGUUAACUGAAUACAUAGGUUAACGAGGCGAACCGGGGGAACUGAAACAUCUAAGUACCCCGAGGAAAAGAAAUCAACCGAGAUUCCCCCAGUAGCGGCGAGCGAACGGGGAGCAGCCCAGAGUCUGAAUCAGCUUGUGUGUUAGUGGAAGCGUCUGGAAAGUCGCACGGUACAGGGUGAAAGUCCCGUACACGAAAGCACACAGGCUGUGAACUCGAAGAGUAGGGCGGGACACGUGGUAUCCUGUCUGAAUAUGGGGGGACCAUCCUCCAAGGCUAAAUACUCCUGACUGACCGAUAGUGAACCAGUACCGUGAGGGAAAGGCGAAAAGAACCCCGGCGAGGGGAGUGAAAAAGAACCUGAAACCGUGUACGUACAAGCAGUGGGAGCACCUUCGGGUGUGACUGCGUACCUUUUGUAUAAUGGGUCAGCGACUUAUAUUCUGUAGCAAGGUUAACCGUAUAGGGGAGCCGAAGGGAAACCGAGUCUUAACUGGGCGUUAAGUUGCAGGGUAUAGACCCGAAACCCGGUGAUCUAGCCAUGGGCAGGUUGAAGGUUGGGUAACACUAACUGGAGGACCGAACCGACUAAUGUUGAAAAAUUAGCGGAUGACCUGUGGCUGGGGGUGAAAGGCCAAUCAAACCGGGAGAUAGCUGGUUCUCCCCGAAAGCUAUUUAGGUAGCGCCUCGUGAACUCAUCUUCGGGGGUAGAGCACUGUUUCGGCUAGGGGGCCAUCCCGGCUUACCAACCCGAUGCAAACUACGAAUACCGAAGAAUGUUAUCACGGGAGACACACGGCGGGUGCUAACGUCCGUCGUGAAGAGGGAAACAACCCAGACCGCCAGCUAAGGUCCCAAAGUCAUGGUUAAGUGGGAAACGAUGUGGGAAGGCCCAGACAGCCAGGAUGUUGGCUUAGAAGCAGCCAUCAUUUAAAGAAAGCGUAAUAGCUCACUGGUCGAGUCGGCCUGCGCGGAAGAUGUAACGGGGCUAAACCAUGCACCGAAGCUGCGGCAGCGACGCUUAUGCGUUGUUGGGUAGGGGAGCGUUCUGUAAGCCGUUGAAGGUGGCCUGUGAGGGUUGCUGGAGGUAUCAGAAGUGCGAAUGCUGACAUAAGUAACGAUAAAGCGGGUGAAAAGCCCGCUCGCCGGAAGACCAAGGGUUCCUGUCCAACGUUAAUCGGGGCAGGGUGAGUCGACCCCUAAGGCGAGGCCGAAAGGCGUAGUCGAUGGGAAACAGGUUAAUAUUCCUGUACUUGGUGUUACUGCGAAGGGGGGACGGAGAAGGCUAUGUUAGCCGGGCGACGGUUGUCCCGGUUUAAGCAUGUAGGCGGAGGUUCCAGGUAAAUCCGGUACCUUUUAACGCUGAGGUGUGAUGACGAGGCACUACGGUGCUGAAGUAACAAAUGCCCUGCUUCCAGGAAAAGCCUCUAAGCAUCAGGUAACACGAAAUCGUACCCCAAACCGACACAGGUGGUCAGGUAGAGAAUACCAAGGCGCUUGAGAGAACUCGGGUGAAGGAACUAGGCAAAAUGGUGCCGUAACUUCGGGAGAAGGCACGCUGAUAUGUAGGUGAAGCCCCUGCGGGUGGAGCUGAAAUCAGUCGAAGAUACCAGCUGGCUGCAACUGUUUAUUAAAAACACAGCACUGUGCAAACACGAAAGUGGACGUAUACGGUGUGACGCCUGCCCGGUGCCGGAAGGUUAAUUGAUGGGGUUAGCGGCAACGCGAAGCUCUUGAUCGAAGCCCCGGUAAACGGCGGCCGUAACUAUAACGGUCCUAAGGUAGCGAAAUUCCUUGUCGGGUAAGUUCCGACCUGCACGAAUGGCGUAAUGAUGGCCAGGCUGUCUCCACCCGAGACUCAGUGAAAUUGAACUCGCUGUGAAGAUGCAGUGUACCCGCGGCAAGACGGAAAGACCCCGUGAACCUUUACUAUAGCUUGACACUGAACACUGGUCCUUGAUGUGUAGGAUAGGUGGGAGGCUUUGAAGCGUGGACGCCAGUCUGCGUGGAGCCGUCCUUGAAAUACCACCCUUUAAUGGCUGGUGUUCUAACGUAGACCCGUAAUCCGGGUUGCGGACAGUGUCUGGUGGGUAGUUUGACUGGGGCGGUCUCCUCCCAAAGAGUAACGGAGGAGCACGAAGGUUAGCUAAUCCUGGUCGGACAUCAGGAGGUUAGUGCAAUGGCAUAAGCUAGCUUGACUGCGAGAGUGACGGCUCGAGCAGGUGCGAAAGCAGGUCAUAGUGAUCCGGUGGUUCUGAAUGGAAGGGCCAUCGCUCAACGGAUAAAAGGUACUCCGGGGAUAACAGGCUGAUACCGCCCAAGAGUUCAUAUCGACGGCGGUGUUUGGCACCUCGAUGUCGGCUCAUCACAUCCUGGGGCUGAAGUAGGUCCCAAGGGUAUGGCUGUUCGCCAUUUAAAGUGGUACGCGAGCUGGGUUUAGAACGUCGUGAGACAGUUCGGUCCCUAUCUGCCGUGGGCGCUGGAGAAUUGAGGGGGGCUGCUCCUAGUACGAGAGGACCGGAGUGGACGCAUCACUGGUGUUCGGGUUGUCAUGCCAAUGGCACUGCCCGGUAGCUAAAUGCGGAAGAGAUAAGUGCUGAAAGCAUCUAAGCACGAAACUUGCCCCGAGAUGAGUUCUCCCUGAGACUUAAAGUCUCCUGAAGGAACGUUGAAGACGACGACGUUGAUAGGUCGGGUGUGUAAGCGCAGCGAUGCGUUGAGCUAACCGAUACUAAUGAACCGUGAGGCUUAACCUU